rnacentral:lncRNA from 1 species
UUCGGUUCACGAGACUGAGGUAGCCUAAACCGGAAGCGGCGUCGUCUUGGUUACGUGGGACAACGAGGAAGGCGAAACCGUGACCAGGGAUAGGGUUUGUGUUGUGAGGAGUGAUGGAGAAAGUGAAAGAGGUUGUGAAAGGGUAAACAGAAGAGGCGUUGUUGGGAGGCUUGAAGGUGAUUGGGUUGAUGUAAAUGGCUCGACCAUGAGAGAAAGGAAUUCUGAAUUGGGUCAAACCGAGAGCACCCGACCGGCUCAUCCGACCGGCGUCGGGACCAUACUCUGCGUCUCCAUGGAACGAGAAGAGAUCAGAGCCAUUAAUACCGAAGUUGUUGAAUUGGAGUCUGUAGGCAGAAGUGGCUUGAGAGAUGGAGAUAGCUAUGAAGAGAGUGAUGAAGCAGAGUGUUUGCAUGGUCAUCUUUGCUCUCUUUUAGAGAAGUGAAGUCAAGAUGAUGAACUUUAUAAAGAUGGAAGUUGUUGUAAAGUUGUUGUAAUAAUGUGAUGGUGACAAGUUCGAGAAAACUUUUUACUCCCUUUGGAUUUUAAAAAUUAAUAUUUAGGAUUACAUAUUAAUAUAUAGAUAUUUUAAUUUAUAAGCUUUUGUUACUUUUAUUUGUUUCUUAAUAAAGUUAUACUACUCAUAUUUUUAGAUUUUAAUUUAUGUUUUAGAGUUAAAACAAAAUGUAUUAAUAAUUCAUUUUUAAUAUAAUUAGAAAAAUUAAAAAAUUAAUUAUGUGUAUGCAGAGAGAGUAUGGUUCAACAAGAAAAGUAAUGGUAAUGGUGAAAAACAAAGGACAAUGAAACUGAAUUAGUUGACAAAAAAAAAAAACUGACUUAUGAAUUAAAUUAUAAUGGCAUUAGAUGACAAAAGUUGUUUUCGAAGUUCCCAAGACAUGUCUUCUUUUCAUGCUGGAAAUAGAACUUUAUAACUGGUGGAGAGAAUAAAAACACAAUAGAAUUAAAUUCUGGAAAUCUUCUAAUUUGUUGUCAUAUGCUCAUAUAGUCAUAUCCUUUGCUCCUUUUGAUCAACCAAAAUAUAAUAAAACUCAAAAUAGAAUUAAAUUCUAGUUUAACUACUUUACAUUUUUACUUUAACUACUUUACUUUUUACUCUAAAAUAAAGUAAGGAGUAAAUACAGAGAAAUACUGAAAAGCAUACAAUUGUUUCAUUUAAAAAUAAUUUCACUUUUUACUUUAUUUUAAAAUUAAAAAAUGGAUAUGAUUAAGAAAUUAAAAAAUGGAUAUGGUUAAUAAAAUUUAUUCCAAAAUAGAAUUUAUAGUAUAAAAUGGAGUUCAGUCAAAAAAUUUAAGAAUAUUUUAUUGUAUUACUCUAUUUUUUAUUUACAUUUGAUUAGCUUGAAAAUAAAAUUAAAAUUUCUCUAAUUUUAUUCUAUUUACAGUAAAGUAGAAUAAUAAAUAAAUAUAAAUAUAAUAAUAUAUAUGUUAUUUCUUUUGAAUAAUUAAAUUAUUACUUCAUUUGAAAUUAGAAAAUGAAGUAGUGUAUUUUUGAUUAAUAACGAUAGAAAAAGGUUAGAAAAAUAUAUUUUUGAUUAAUAACGAUGAAAAAAAAAUUAAUGGAGAGAACUGAAGUUGUCCUUGCAUAGCUAAUAAAUAGUUUUAUAUAGACUUUGUUUUAUAAUUUUCCACAGACUACACAAAUUGUUAAUCUAAAUUGGUAUGUACCGAAUUUAGGUACGAAUUAAAUUCGAUACUAAAUUAUUUAGAAGAUGUUUACUGAGAAAUCAAAUGUUUGAUUUAAAGAGAAAAAAUCAAAUGUUUGAUUAUAAGAGAAAAUACUAGAAAUUUGUAUACAGUUUACGUAUUCUGCAAGAAGAAUUCCUUAUCUUAUACCGACUUAUGUUUUAUUAUGAACUCCUAUCUUCGAUAUAUGUUUUCUUUUGUUAUAGCCGGUUUUUUUUUCUUCUUCAAGUUGUAUAAACCGAUUCUAAAUUAACUGGGUGAAAUUUAAUGUAUUUAAUGGGGGCUUGUUUGAGAAAACCGAUUCUUAUUGGUUUUUCUUUUAAGUUCUACCGAUGUGUGUUUGUAUUAUAAUACACUUAACAUCAGUACAACAAGAAACUAAAUUUUCGAAUUUUUUUUGGUAUUUAAGUCUUUGGUGUGUUUCAAAAACAAAAAUGUCUUUGGUAUUAGAGUAUUAAGGUAGAGUGUUGUAUUUUUUGUUUUUGAAGUCUGAAAACUUGAUAACUUGAGCAUUUAUUCACUUCAACUAGUAGCGGGAGCCACACUAACAGAAACAUAAACAAAUCAAACGAUAAGCGAUUUGAACCGAGUAAACCCGGUUUAUUAUUAAUAGACUCGUAUUGGGUUCGUUCUUUUAGGUUCUACCGAAGUGGGUUGUACACAAAAAGAAAUACAAAUUUUGAUUUUGAUUUUGAUUUUGGUAUUUCAAGUCUUUGGUAUUAGGUAGAAUGUUGUAUUCAUUUUUGAAAUUUAGAAACCGACAACUUGAGCAUUUAUUCACUUCAAUUAUUAGCGGGAGCCACUAACCGAAGCUAUCAAAACAAAACAAAAACAAACCAAGCAAAACCGAAUUUAAACCGAUCUCAAAUCGAAUAAAUCCGGUUUAUUAAUUUUGGAAAGUCCAGUCCCAGAUCUCGUGACGCUCAACACCACGGCCCAUUGAACCGGCAAAACCGGCGUACAUCUUCUCGAGCAGAACAUUAGAGAGAUCGUACUUCGCUUCAAUCAAAGGCCGGUUCGGUUUCUUCAAAUGCGCGAGCCCGAUCGUAACCGAGAUCACUUUUAAAUUGUUGUUGUACUCGAUCCAAGCCGCGUACUUAUCUCCACUGCUCAGCUUCAAAUCCUUGAACAACCAACCGUUUCUUGUCAUGACCCAAUAACCGGAUUUAACCGAAGUCACAGAGUCGACCGAAUUAAUGUCGAUUCCGACAUGGUUAUCGUUGAUGUCUUUAAAAGACUUGUCCUGAAACACAUCGAACUCAACAGCAAAUAGGUGGUUACUUGGAUUACCGUUACUGGUUCGGUUCACGAGACUUAGGAAGCCUAAACCGGAACCGGCAUGUUGGUUACUUGGGACGACGAAGAAGGCGAGACCGUGACCAGGAGUAGGGUUUGUUUUGUGAGGAGUGAUGGAGAAAGUGAAAGAGGUCUUGAAAGAGUAAACAGAAGAAGCGUUGUUGGGAGGUUUGAAGGAGAUUGGGUUGAUGAGAAUGGCUCGACCAUGAGAGAAAGGAGUUUUGUCUUUGGUCAAUGAGAGAGAACCGGACCGGGUCGUGCCGUCGGUGUUGUGACCAUACUCUGCGUCUCCAUGGAACGAGAAGAGAUCGGUGCCGUUACCG